ACUCCUACGGGAGGCAGCAGUGGGAAUAUUGGACAAUGGGGCAACCGUGCAUCAGCAAUGCCGCGUGUGUGAAGAAGGCCUGAGGGUUGUAAAGCACUUUCAGUAGGGAGGAGGAUUGACAGGUUAAGAGCUGGUCAAUUGGACGUUACCUACAGAAGAAGCACCGGCUAACUCCGUGCCAGCAGCCGCGGUAAUACGGAGGGCGCAAGCGUUACUCGGAAUCACUGGGCGUAAAGAGCGUGUAGGCGGAUCGAUAAGUCAGGAGUGAAAUCCUAUGGCUCAACCAUAGAACUGCUCUUGAAACUGUCAAUCUAGAGUAUGGGAGAGGUAGAUGGAAUUUCUGGUGUAGGGGU
rnacentral:rRNA from 1 species